GUAAACUGUACUUACUGAAUACUCCCUCCAUUCCAUAAUUUACUAUACUUAUUUCUUUUUUCCAUAAACCCUAAUUCAUUAAAAUGAAUCUGAAACACUUAAUUUGCAAGCAAACAAUCAACAAAUUAUCAAAUGGAAUUCUAUCUCAAUACCCUCAUUUUCACCAGAAAGCUGCAAUCUUUACAUUCUUGGUUCCGCCCCCCACCUGUUCGACGAAAUGUCACAAUGAUUUUUUCCACUAUAAUCGAAAAAAUGAAACUUGGGGUUGUAAAAGAUUGAUUCACACAGGUGCUGAACAAGUGUUAAUUGAUAAUGCCACAAUGAAUGAGUUCUUAUCAAGAUUUGUUUGGAUAAUGCGUGGUAAACUCAAACCUGAUUUUGACAAGAAAACAAUUGAUGUUAUGCUUUUGGUUAUUGUUGGUAAGGUUGUUGAGGAGUUAGAAAAAGGCGGUUUUGAUCAGAUAGUUGGAGGUGAUUUUAGUGAGGAUUUGUGGAAGACAGUGUGGGAAGUGAGCAAUGUGGUGUUGGAAGAUAUGGAGAAAGCGAAAAGGAAAGAGAAAAUGAAGAGCUUUCUUGAAGCUGAGCAAGUUAAAGACAUGUGUAGGUUUGCUGGCGAAGUUGGUAUUCGCGGAGAGAUGCUUAGGGAGUUAAGGUUCAAAUGGGCGCGCGAGAAAAUGGAGGAGAGUGAGUUUUAUCAGAGUCUUGAACGUCGUCUUAAGGAAGAAGAAGAGGAGGAGGAUAGUGUCGGAGAAAGUGAAGUUGUGUCUCUUCCCAAAAGGCGUGGGAAGAUUAACUACAAGAUUUAUGGACUUGAUUUGUCCGAUUCGAAAUGGUCUCAAGUGGCUGAUAAGGUUCAUGAGGCUGAGAAAAUCAUAUGGCCUCAAGAACCAAAACCAAUAGCUGGCAAGUGCAAAAUUAUUACUGAGAAUAUACUUUCGUCAGAAGUUGAAGAUGAUCCUUCUUCACUUCUAGGAGAAUGGGUAGAACUUCUCCAACCUAGUAGGGUAGACUGGAUGAAUUUACUUGAUAGAUUGAAGGAACAAAAUGCUCAUCUUUAUUUGAAGAUUGCAGAGCAUGUGCUUGGCGAAGAGUCCUUCCAAACAAACAUACGUGACUACUCAAAACUCAUUGAUGCCCAUGCUAGAGAUAACCGGCUAGAAGAUGCCGAGAGAAUUAUCAAAAAGAUGAGUGAAAAUGGGAUUGGACCUGAUAUUCUCACAUCAACAACCAUGGUUCACAUGUACAGCAAAGCAGGUAACCUGGAUCGAGCAAAAGCUGCAUUUGAGAGCUUGAGAAUUCAAGGAUUCUUACCAGACGUGGGGGUUUACAAAUCCAUGAUCCUAGCCUAUGUAAAUGCUGGUCAGCCAAAGUUGGGUGAAUCAUUAAUGAGGGAAAUGGAGGCAAGAGACAUCAAGCCUUCUAAGGAGAUCUUUAUGGCUCUCCUAAGGUCAUUUGCUCAGCAUGGUGAUGUUAAUGGAGCCCAAAGAAUAGCAAGUACAAUGCAGUUUUCAGGAUUUCAGCCCACUUUAGAGUCAUGCACAUCACUUGUUGAGGCAUAUGGAAAAGCUGGUGACUCUGAUCAGGCAAGGCAUAAUUUUGAUUACAUGAUCAAACUUGGACACAAGCCAGAUGAUAGAUGCACUGCUAGCAUGAUAGCAGCUUAUGAGAAGAAGAACCUGCUGGAUAAAGCCUUAAAUCUUCUAUUGGAGCUUGAGAAAGAUGGCUUUGAGCCUGGGGUGGUUACUUACUCGGUUUUGGUGGAUUGGAUGGGUAAAAUGCAGCUAAUUGAUGAGGCUGAACAGUUCUUGGAUAAAAUUGCUGAGCAGGGUGAGGCUCCUCCAUUUAACGUUCAUAUUGGCCUAUGUGACAUGUAUGCAAGAGCUAAUGUUGAGAAAAAGGCUCUUCAAGCUCUUGGAGUUCUGGAGGCCAAAAACGAGCAGUUGGGAGCAGAAGAAUUCGAGAGGAUUAUACGGUCACUUAUAGCUGGUGGAUUUGUGCAAGACGCUCAAAAGUUUCAAGGAUUGAUGGAAGCUCGGGGAUAUACGGUAUCCGAGCAACUUCGAGUAACACUCAACGCGUCUCAAACUUUUUUUCGCAGGAGACCAUCUCUGUCUUCCUUGUGGGCAUAUAUAUGGUUUGUCAUGUAUCAAAAAGUGGGUGCAACAAAAGGGAAGUUUAGGAAAGUGCCCUCAAUGUAAUAAGAAAUGCACAGUGAAGGGUAUCCGAGUACUUUAUGCUUGUCGACUUCAUGCUGUCGAUGAAGAGCUUCAAAAGAAAAUCCGGUCUCUUGAAGCUAGAUGUUUUUCUCUUAAAAAAGAGUGUACAGACUGGUGUAAGAAAGAAAUUGAGUGGAGGAGGAGAGAAGCUGAGUUGCAUAAGCAAGUGGAGCACCUCAAAGAG